GGAGGCGGGGCUGAGCUGAGCUGGAGUGGAGGCAGCAUGUCACCCCAGUAGUAAGAUGCAGUAUUUCCAGGAUGUGGAGUCACAUUUCCAGACUUACAGCAAGAAGUUGGAUGAAGACAUAACCUCUGGAAUCACGCACAUACACAGACACUUUGCCCAAAUUAUAGAGAUAACCUCCUUUAGUAUGCCCAGAGGAAGGGCAAUACAGUAGCCAUGGAUUCCCUACAGGUUUCCUCCCCUCUGGAGGUUUUUCCUGUCCUGAGUAUUAGUUACUGUACGCUCUUUGUGAGUGAUGGGAGGUUACAAAAAACCCCUACACAAACAUUGUAAUAAAUAAUAAAUAAAGUUUCCCCUUUUUUAACCUUUC